ACACUGAAGCACGAGUAAAAUCUGCUCCUAACUGGCUGGAUCAUGUGAAAUGUAGGAAACACGACUCUAAUCUGUUGCAGUGUCCAUCUUCACCCUGGGGACAGAACAGAUGUAAUAAUCAUGAUGAAGUUGUUCAUAUUACCUGCACAGAUGAUGGAAAGUCUCCACGUCCACCAGAAAACUGCUCUUUACUUCCCUCUCAGAAACACUGCUCAAAACACUGGUCUCUCAGGCUGAGUGGAGGAAAGGGAAGCUGCUCUGGGAGGUUGGAGGUGUAUCAUAACUCUACGUGGGGCUCCAUUUGUGAUGAUCAGUGGAACAUCACGAGCGCUCGGGUGGAGUGCAGACAGCUGGGCUGUGGGUCGGCGCUGCGUGCUGAUGUUCGGUUUGGUUCUGGUGAAGGGACUUUCUGGCUGAACAGAGUGAAGUGUCGUGGGGAUGAGAUUCACCUGUGGGACUGUCAUCAUUCCCUGAAGAAACACACUUACUGCUCUCCUGCUGGAGUCACCUGUGCAGACAUAUCCACCGUGUCCACUGCUACACCCAUCACCACCACCCCCACAACCCCCACCACCACCAAACCAG